UGACGGUACCAGAAGAAUAAGGACCUGCUAAACUCGUGCCAGCAGCCGCGGUAAUACGAGUGGUCCAAGCGUUAUCCGGAUUUAUUGGGCGUAAAGAGUCUGUAGGCGUCCUGGUGCAUCUUCUGUUAAAUGCUGAAGCUUAACUUCAGCGCUGCGGGAGAGAUGGUCAGGAUUGAGGCCGGAAGAGGUAUGCGGAACUGUCGGUGUAGUAGUAAAAUGCGUUAAUAUCGGCAGGAACACCAAAGGCGAAAGCAGCAUACUGGUACGGAUCUGACGCUGAGAGACGAAAGCGUGGGGAGCGAAGCGGAUUAGAUACCCGCGUAGUCCACGCCGUAAACGAUGGAUACUAGACAUUGGGAGUAUCGACCCUCCCAGUGUCGUUUAUCAAAGGUAACCCCUUAAGUAUCCCGCCUGGGGAGUACGGCCGCAAGGCUAAAACUCAAAGGAAUUGACGGGAACCCGCACAAGCGGUGGAGCAUGUGGUUCAAUUCGACAAUAAGCGAGGAACCUUACCAGGGCUUGACAUGAUGCUGCAAGCGCACGGAAACGUGUGACCUUCGAGGGUGCAUCACAGGUGCUGCAUGGUUGUCGUCAGCUCGUGCCGUAAGGUGUACAGUUAAGUCUGGAAACGAGCGCAACCUCUAUUGCCAGUUAUACGUAUCUGGCGAGACUGCCCCCCACAAGGGGGAGGAAGGUGGAGAUGACGUCAAAUCAGCAUGGCUCUUACGUCCUGGGCUACACACGUGCUACAAUGGGGUGCAACAAUGGGCCGCCAACCCGUAAGGGGGAGCUAAUCCCAUCAAACCACCCCCCAGUUCAGAUUGAGGGCUGCAACUCGCCCUCAUGAAGC
rnacentral:rRNA from 1 species